AUUGAACGCUGGCGGAAUGCUUUACACAUGCAAGUCGAACGGCAGCACGGACUUCGGUCUGGUGGCGAGUGGCGAACGGGUGAGUAAUGUAUCGGAACGUGCUCAGUCGUGGGGGAUAACGUAGUGAAAAUUACGCUAAUACCGCAUACGAUCUAUGAAUGAAAGCGGGGGAUCGCAAGACCUCGCGCGAUUGGAGCGGCCGAUAUCAGAUUAGGUAGUUGGUGGGGUAAAGGCCCACCAAGCCAACGAUCUGUAGCUGGUCUGAGAGGACAACCAUCCACACUGGAACUGAGACACGGUCCAGACUCCUACGGGAGGCAGCAGUGGGGAAUUUUGGACAAUGGGCGAAAGCCUGAUCCAGCCAUUCCGCGUGCAGGAUGAAGGCCCUCGGGUUGUAAACUGCUUUUGUACAGAACGAAAAGGUUUCUACUAAUACUAGGAGCUCAUGACGGUACUGUAAGAAUAAGCACCGGCUAACUACGUGCCAGCCGCCGCCGUAA
rnacentral:rRNA from 1 species